rnacentral:rRNA from 1 species
UAGCCGUAAACGAUACUCGCUAGGUGUCGGCCACGGUGCGACCGUUGUCGGUGCCGUAGGGAAGCCGUGAAGCGAGCCACCUGGGAAGUACGGCCGCAAGGCUGAAACUUAAAGGAAUUGGCGGGGGAGCACCACAACGGGUGGAGCUUGCGGUUUAAUUGGAUUCAACGCCGGAAAUCUUACCGGGACCGACAGCAACAUGAAGGCCAGGCUGAAGACUUUGCCGGAUUAGCUGAGAGGAGGUGCAUGGC